AUAGGUCAAGCUACAAAGGGCGCAUGGUGAAUGCCUUGGCAUCAGGAGCCGAUGAAGGACGCGAUAAGCUGCGAUAAGCUUCGGGUAGACGCACAUAGUCAGAGAUCCGAAGAUUUCCGAAUGAGGAAACUCACAUGGGAAACCCCAUGUAUCGUAAAGUGAAUACAUAGCUUUAUGAAGGUAAACCCAGGGAACUGAAACAUCUAAGUACCU
rnacentral:rRNA from 1 species